CCUACGGGGGGCAGCAGUGGGGGAUAUUGCACAAUGGGGGAAACCCUGAUGCAGCGACGCCGCGUGGGUGAAGAAGGGCCUCGGCGCGUAAAGCCCUGUCAGCAGGGAAGAAAAUGACGGUACCUGAAGAAGAAGCCCCGGCUAACUACGUGCCAGCAGCCGCGGUAAUACGUAGGGGGCAAGCGUUAUCCGGAUUUACUGGGUGUAAAGGGGGCGCAGACGGCGAUGCAAGCCAGGAGUGAAAGCCCGGGGCCCAACCCCGGGACUGCUCUUGGAACUGCGUGGCUAGAGUGCAGGAGGGGCAGGCGGAAGUCCUGGUGUAGCGGUGAAAUGCGUAGAUAUCAGGAGGAACACCGGUGGCGAAGGCGGCCUGCUGGACUGCAACUGACGUUGAGGCCCGAAAGCGUGGGGAGCAAACAGGAUUAGAUACCCCAGUAGUC
rnacentral:rRNA from 1 species